GGAGGGAUGGCCGAGUGGUUUAAGGCACCGGUCUUGAAAACCGGAGCCCGAAAGGGCCGCGGGUUCGAAUCCUGCUCCCUCCGCCA
rnacentral:tRNA from 1 species